AAGUCGUAACAAGGUCUCCGUAGGUGAACCUGCGGAGGGAUCAUCAAAGAAAAUAAUAAUAUUUUAAACCCCAAGUGUUAGGAAAGGAAGGAAAAAGAGCAUUGCUAAUUUUCCUUCUUUUUCUAAUGCUUCAAACAAACGAUCACAACUAAAGAGAGGAUAUCAUGGUUUUUUUUUUCGAGGGGAAUAAUAAGUGCUUGCCUGAUAAUCUGAUUAUUGGAAUUGGAAAGAGAAUAAAAUAUACAACUUUCAACAACGGAUCUCUUGGCUCUCA
rnacentral:misc_RNA from 1 species